rnacentral:rRNA from 1 species
AUUGAACGCUGGCGGCAGGCUUAACACAUGCAAGUCGAGCGGGGGAAGGUAGCUUGCUACUGGACCUAGCGGCGGACGGGUGAGUAAUGCUUAGGAAUCUGCCUAUUAGUGGGGGACAACAUCUCGAAAGGGAUGCUAAUACCGCAUACGUCCUACGGGAGAAAGCAGGGGAUCUUCGGACCUUGCGCUAAUAGAUGAGCCUAAGUCGGAUUAGCUAGUUGGUGGGGUAAAGGCCUACCAAGGCGACGAUCUGUGGCGGGUCUGAGAGGAUGAUCCGCCACCCUGGGACUGAGACACGGCCCAGACUCCUACGGGAGGCAGCAGUGGGGAAUAUUGGACAAUGGGGGGAACCCUGAUCCAGCCAUGCCGCGUGUGUGAAGAAGGCCUUAUGGUUGUAAAGCACUUUAAGCGAGGAGGAGGCUACUUUAGUUAAUACCUAGAGAUAGUGGACGUUACUCGCAGAAUAAGCACCGGCUAACUCUGUGCCAGCCGCCGCAGUAA